rnacentral:rRNA from 1 species
AAGGUAACGGCUUACCAAGGGCAACGAUGCAUAGCCGACCUGAGAGGGUGAUCGGCCACACUGGAACUGAGACACGGUCCAGACUCCUACGGGAGGCAGCAGUAGGGAAUCUUCCGCAAUGGGCGAAAGCCUGACGGAGCAACGCCGCGUGAGUGAUGAAGGUCUUCGGAUCGUAAAACUCUGUUAUUAGGGAAGAACAUAUGUGUAAGUAACUGUGCACAUCUUGACGGUACCUAAUCAGAAAGCCACGGCUAACUACGUGCCAGCAGCCGCGGUAAUACGUAGGUGGCAAGCGUUAUCCGGAAUUAUUGGGCGUAAAGCGCGCGUAGGCGGUUUUUUAAGUCUGAUGUGAAAGCCCACGGCUCAACCGUGGAGGGUCAUUGGAAACUGGAAAACUUGAGUGCAGAAGAGGAAAGUGGAAUUCCAUGUGUAGCGGUGAAAUGCGCAGAGAUAUGGAGGAACACCAGUGGCGAAGGCGACUUUCUGGUCUGUAACUGACGCUGAUGUGCGAAAGCGUGGGGAUCAAACAGGAUUAGAUACCCUGGUAGUCCACGCCGUAAACGAUGAGUGCUAAGUGUUAGGGGGUUUCCGCCCCUUAGUGCUGCAGCUAACGCAUUAAGCACUCCGCCUGGGGAGUACGACCGCAAGGUUGAAACUCAAAGGAAUUGACGGC